CCGGCGACCGGCGCACGGGUGAGUAACACGUAUGCGACCUGCCCCCCGCAGGGGGAUAACCGGGAGAAAUCCCGACUAAUGCCGCGUAACGCCGCGGACCUGCAUGGGUCUGCGGCCAAAGGAAGCGAUUCCGGCGGGGGAUGGGCAUGCGGCGCAUUAGCUAGUCGGCGGGGUAACGGCCCACCGAGGCGACGAUGCGUAGGGGUUCUGAGAGGAAGGUCCCCCACACUGGUACUGAGACACGGACCAGACUCCUACGGGAGGCAGCAG
rnacentral:rRNA from 1 species